rnacentral:rRNA from 1 species
UACAGAGGGGGCAAGCGUUGUUCGGAAUUACUGGGCGUAAAGGGCGCGUAGGUGGCCUUCUAAGUCGAACGUGAAAUCCCUGGGCUCAACCCAGGAACUGCGUCCGAGACUGGGAGGCUUGAAUCCGGGAGAGGGAUGCGGAAUUCCAGGUGUAGCGGUGAAAUGCGUAGAUAUCUGGAGGAACACCGGUGGCGAAGGCGGCAUCCUGGACCGGCAUUGACGCUGAGGAGCGAAAGCUAGGGGAGCAAACGGG